rfam:Alphaproteobacteria bacterium 65-37 SCNpilot_cont_300_bf_scaffold_1000, whole genome shotgun sequence.
CCGCGGGCCACGCUCCCCCACCGGAGUGCAGCUCUUCUGUAAGGGAGAGGUUA